UAUUUCAUGAUGAAAUCUCAUUUCGUCAUUAAAGAUAUUAAUCAAAAUGAUUUGUUAUGAUCAAUUUUUAUUAUCAUCACCAAAUAUGAGGCUUCAGUGACUAGAUUUAUAUUUUGCUACUAAAAGUUCAUCAAUAAAAGACUAAAUUCUUAUAGUGAAAGACAUAAUAUAAGGGAGUAAAACGAUCAUAAGAUAUAGUGGUGGAAAGAGAUUGAACAGUAUCGAAGGAGG
rnacentral:lncRNA from 1 species